rnacentral:tRNA from 1 species
GCUUUCGUAGUGUAAUUAGAAGCAUGUCCGGCUGGCAAUCGAGAUGUCCGGAGUUCGAAUCCUGCGAGGGCA